GAACUUGGGCGUGAAAAUUGACAAGCUGCCCUUAACAGGAAGAAGUGUUGAAAUCAAAGCCGAAUGUCCUGAGAUGUUAUUGUCCCUAGCAAAGGUUGGCUGGGCAUGGUGGUGCAUGCCCAGCACUCCAGAGGCUGAGGCAGGAGGAUCACCAAGAGUUCGAGGCCAGCCUGGACUACCUAGUGAGACCCUGUCUCAAAAACAAAAUAAAACAUUAAUAUAUGAUUCAUCGUGACACUUUAAGCCAGAGGAGUGAACUGAGCACCGGUUGGAAGCACUGCUGGUGGCCGCACUGGGCCUGAUUACCUCACCUCUGACGCUCCGGCCCGUCUCUGGGGCCCUGGCCAGGCCUCGGUGUUUCCUGUCUGAAAACAGCCAGCUCCAUGCUCUUCCAGACAAAGGGCAUCCCACCCAGUCCAGAAGGAAUUGCAGUGACCACAGUCAAACUGGACAGUUCCAAAGAGGCCGCAGCACAUGCUGAGUAGUGAUCCCAGGGCACAGGAAAGGGACAAAACAUCUGGGGGCAAGGAUGUGCUGGCACCUGGAUGUGUACGUGCAGAUCCACAGCUCGUUUUUCCCAUGAGUGACAUGGAGUCACGGUCGCCAGGAGAAGAAGUGGAAUCUGUGAGCCGCAAACAGAGCCAAGGUGGACAGUAAAUGUUGGAGAUAAAAGCGGUGCCUCAGCACCUAGCCUCCGGAGCUGACGUUUCCCUUUACCAGCCAGAGCCUGGAAGGGUCUGGAAGCCUUGCAUGAAGGAGGGCCCCAAGUCCACUCGGGACUGGGCAGCUGUCCCCACCCCAGUGCCCACUGUUCUACUCCUGCUUCCUGCCUCUGUGAACCGGAAUUCUCUACCACCUCAGGUGAGUCUGAAGGCCUGGACUCACACCCAGCCCAGAAAGUGCUGCAGUGACCCUGAGCGACCGCCAGCACCCGGGGUGUACACUCGCUUCCCGCCUG
rnacentral:lncRNA from 1 species